GACGAACCGUGCGAACGUUAUUCGGAAUCACUGGGCUUAAAGCGCGUGUAGGCGGGGUGGCACGUCCGGCGCUGAAAUCCCCCGGCUCAACCGGGGAACGGGCGCGGAUACGACCGCCCUCGAGGGACGUAGGGGGACCUGGAACUUCCGGUGGAGCGGUGAAAUGCGUUGAGAUCGGAAGGAACGCCCGUGGCGAAAGCGGCGCGCUGGACCUCUUCUGACGCUGAGGCGCGAAAGCCAGGGGAGCGAACGGG
rnacentral:rRNA from 1 species